rnacentral:sRNA from 1 species
GCACGGAAGGCAAAGAUGUCCAGUGUCAA